rnacentral:rRNA from 1 species
UACGUAGGGCGCAAGCGUUGUCCGGAAUUACUGGGCGUAAAGAGUGCGUAGGCGGUUCUUUGUGUCCGCUGUGAAAGCCCCGGGCUUAACCUGGGAAUGGCAGUGGAAACUAGAGAACUUGAAUCUGGCAGAGGGGGGUGGAAUGCCACGUGUAGCAGUGAAAUGCGUAGAUAUGUGGCGGAACACCGAUGGCGAAGGCAGCCCCCUGGGCUGAGAUUGACGCUCAGGCACGAAAGCGUGGGGAGCAAACAGG